rnacentral:rRNA from 1 species
GACGAACGCUGGCGGCGUGCUUAACACAUGCAAGUCGAACGGAAAGGCCCUGCUUUUUUGGGGUUCUCGAGUGGCGAACGGGUGAGUAACACGGGAAUAACCUUCCCCUGACGUUGGGAUGACUUCAGGAAGCUGGUACUAAUACCGGAGAGGAGCUGCUGCUGGAUGGUGGGGGUUGGAACUUUUAGGCGGGUGGGGAUGGACGCGCGGCUUAUCAGCUUGUUGGGUGGGUAGUUGCUUACCAAGGCUUUGACGGGUGGCCGGCCUGAGAGGGUGACCGGCGACAUUGGGACUGAGAGACGGAGCAGUCUCGUACGGGAGGCAGUAGUCGGGAAUAUUGCACAAUGGGCCGAAGCCUGAUGCAGCAACCCCGCGAGUGGGAUGACGGCUUUCGGGUUGUAAACCGCUUUAGCCUGAGACGAAGCGUGAGUGACGGUACCGGGUAAAGAAGCACCGGCUAACUACGUG